GACAAGGUGAUGCAUGAAGGUGAGUGGCUAUCACUGAAUGGAUCUACUGGUGAAGUCAUCGUGGGGAAGCAGCCACUUUCCCCACCAGUCCUCAGUGGUGAUCUGGGAACCUUCAUGUCCUGGGUAGAUGAAGUUAGGCAACUGAAGGUAAAUUCCUAGAAAUAACAAAUAUGUAAUAUUAGUUAAAACAUGGAUACAAACUGUUGGAAGUAGAAACCAACAAAAAGGGCAUCAGAUUAUUUAUUCAGACAGGCCAAAGCUAGUCAACCCCACUACACAUUUUUCAACAGAAAUGCUUAUUCGUACAUAUGAUCCACCUUCCAGGUUUUGGCUAAUGCGGAUACCCCUGAGGAUGCACUGACAGCAAGAAACAAUGGGGCAGAAGGAAUUGGACUAUGCCGGACGGAGCACAUGGUAUGUAUUUUAGUUACUGUCCAAUAUCUUUUGGGUGGGAUCUUGGAAAACUUACUCUUUCUUGAAUUCCUUCGUCGAACAGUUGGGUAAACUUUAAGGACCUCCCGUUCUAGUCUCAUGUUCUCCUUUUCUGCACUUUGGCAGUUCUUUGCUUCGGAUGAGAGGAUUAAGGCUGUGAGGCAGAUGAUUAUGGCUCCCACACUUGAACUGAGGCAGAAGGCACUAGAUCGUCUUUUGCCUUAUCAGAGGUCUGACUUUGAAGGCAUUUUCCGUGCUAUGGAUGGUAUGUGAAAAUCACGAUGCAUUCAUUUACAUGCUCUCCAAUUGAACUGGAUGCACUAGUGUUACUGAACAUAACAAGAGUAAGCAACCUUCUUAAAUAGACAACAUUGACUACUAAUGUAAAGUGAAAAGGUAGACAAGUUUUAAACCUUAGGAUGCAAAAUACUUCAAAAAUAAGAACGAAAUUGGGCCAGUAACAUAUUGCAUCAAUUAUUUAACUUGGUAACAUAAAGUUCUGCUAUGAUUUAUCCAUUAGUUUUUUUUAAUCUUUUAUAGCGAGUGGUAUAUGUACAUGUUUCAUGGAAACAGAUAUAGAAUUAAACUACUAGAAUAAAUUUUAACAUGUAUUGUAGUUAGUUCCACAGUAUGUAUUUUAAAGUGCGGAAUGGAUUUGAACAUUAUUUUUUUUGCAUUUCAGGGCUUUCAGUGACUAUUCGGCUUCUGGACCCCCCACUUCAUGAGUUUCUUCCUGACGGGAAUGUUGAAGACAUUGUGCGUGAAUUAUGUUCUGAAACUGGAGCCAAUCAGGAGGAAGCCCUUGCAAGAAUUGAAAGUCUUUCAGAAGUAAAUCCAAUGCUUGGUUUCCGUGGGUGCAGGUUGGUUUUUGUGCUCCGUUUAAAUCAGUCACCCCCCCUCCUUGAUCCAUUUGGUUCCCUUGUUAGUGAAAUAUUAAAAAGAAUAAACUCUGUAUAUUUACCUCGACUAAUAUUGGAACUGCUAAAAUUCCAGGCUCGGUAUAUCAUAUCCUGAGCUAACAGAAAUGCAAGCCCGUGCCAUCUUUGAAGCUGCUAUAGCGAUGACCAACCAGGGUGUUCAAGUUUUCCCAGAGAUAAUGGUUCCUCUUGUUGGGACACCUCAGGCAUGCAUCUUUAUUUCCUUAUUUGUGCAUAUGGUAUCUCUGCAGUUCAUGGUGUUCAAAAUGACAAAAUCAAAAUUGAAUAAACAACCAAGUUCUGUACACAUGUAAUUUACGAUUUUAUGCAAACAUCAAGUUGACCUACACCCAAUUUCCCACCAAAUUCAUUUCUUGAAAUUUUCUCUCUCGAAUUCUAAGUUUAUUGCUUUCACUUGAUUUUUCCUUCAGACAUCUGACAUUUGACUUUUGCAGGAACUGGGGAAUCAAGUGGCCCUUAUCCGUGAAACUGCUAACAAAGUUUUCGCUGCUCUGGGUAAAACCAUUGACUACAAAAUUGGAACUAUGAUUGAAAUUCCGAGGGCAGCUCUAGUAGCUGAUGAGGUAGGAAGCAUCUAACUCCCUUCAGAAUAAUCUUAAAUAUUGCUGUUUAGGUUUAGCUUUUAGAUCAUAUUUUUCAUGAAUGGUUUAGUAAUAGAACCCCGGAUUUUUACUCUAAAACAUGUGAAUAGUAACUGAUGGUAUGAAUUUAUUAAGUGCAAAUAAUAAGUUUAUCCUCUAAUUUAAAAAAAAAACUGACAUUCUUGUUUUGGUUUCACAACCUGACAGAUAGCAGAGCAGGCUGAAUUCUUCUCUUUUGGAACGAACGACCUCACACAGAUGACAUUUGGCUACAGCAGGGAUGAUGUGGGGAAGUUUCUUCCCAUUUAUCUGUCUCAGGGUAUCCUCCAACAUGAUCCCUUUGAGGUAAAAUUUUAGCAGCUCUCACCCUUCAGUUUUAGAUGAUAUACCUGCAUUUUCAUCAUCCACUCUUGUUUUUCAAGGAAUAUUUCCAUCAUCCACAGAUGCGAGCAUCUCAUGUCCUCUAGGCAUUUUUCAUGUCCUUGACUUUUGGUUACGUGCAUGCUCUGGUAAAAUUCAACCUAGUAACUUGCCCAUUGAAUGUUGAUAAACAUAUCAGGUGCUGGAUCAGAGGGGAGUGGGCGAGCUGGUUAAGUUUGCUACAGAGAGGGGUCGCAAAGCUAGGCCUAACUUGAAGGUUAGUUUUUGGGACUUGUGGACAUUGGCUCUUUUCCUUAGAAAUCAUGGUUUCAUUGUUUGGUGCUGUCUGCAAACAGGUGGGCAUCUGUGGAGAACACGGUGGGGAGCCUUCGUCAGUUGCAUUCUUUGCAAAGUCGGGGCUGGAUUAUGUUUCUUGCUCGCCUUUCAGGUUGGUCAAGUGAUAAACUCAAGAUACAACUCCCAGAUUCAUAACUGUAGCAAAACCUUAACUACUUUUUAUGAAAUAUCUUGUGCAGGGUUCCCAUCGCCAGGCUAGCUGCAGCUCAGGUGCUCGUCUGAGGGCACCGCCUCAUCGGCAACCGGAUCACCUGCUGUUGGUGCGUCUGGUGAAGAAUACUAAUACAAAGCCAUGGAACGGUGGAACUCUGCUGCCUGGCAAAGGCCGUUGUAUCUUGUAUGAAGUCUCCGUGCGCGUGCGCAU
rnacentral:lncRNA from 1 species